CCCGUUUGAGGUCGACAUCUUUAGCUUGUUCUCUUAAUUCUUUAGCGAGAUAUUUUCGUAACUUAUUCCUCCAGUUUAGAAGUGACCUCAAUUCCUUGACUUCCCACAUCUGACAUCCAGAACAG